GUCUGUUGUGAAAGCCCUGGGCUCAACCCAGGAAGUGCACUGGAUACUGGCAGACUUGAAUACGGGAGAGGGUAGUGGAAUUCCUGGUGUAGGAGUGAAAUCCGUAGAUAUCAGGAGGAACACCGGUGGCGAAGGCGGCUACCUGGACCGAUAUUGACGCUGAGACGCGAAAGCGUGGGUAGCAAACAGGAUUAGAUACCCUGGUAGUCCACGCCGUAAACGAUG
rnacentral:rRNA from 1 species